UACGUAGGGGGCAAGCGGUUGUCCGGAUUUAUUGGGCGUAAAGAGCGUGUAGGCGGCCUGAAAGGUCAGCUGUGAAAACUCGAGGCUCAACCUCGAGACGUCGGUUGAAACCAUCUGGCUAGAGUCCGGAAAGAGGAGUGUGGAAUUCCCGGGUGUAGCGGUGAAAUGCGCAGAUAUCGGGAAGAACACCCGUGGCGAAGGCGGCACUCUGGGACGGUACUGACGCUGAGACGCGAAAGCGUGGGGAGCGAACAGG
rnacentral:rRNA from 1 species